CCAGUCAAGGGACAAAUGCAGACAUCAGGAAUGUUAUACAUACACUUUUAAGGCAUUUGUGUAGUGAUUAUUCUAAAAUUAAUUGUAUAUUCAAUGAUUUUUUUUAGGUUGCAGAGGAAUAGCAAUGAUAACUUAAGCAGAACAACAGAAAAGUUAUAAUGGGAAGACACUUUUUUAUUAUAUUUUAGGUUGGUGCAAAAGUAAUUGCGAUGUUUGCAAUUUUUAAUUCCAAAAACUGCAAUUACAUUUGCACCAACCUAAUACAUUAUACAUAACUAUAUGUAAAUUUUCAAAUAAUGACACAUAUACUAAAUUUACCUAAUAAAGCCAGAUUAGGUCAUAUAGCACAGUUGGAACAAGACGAACCAUGCAAGAUGUCAAGGAUUUUGAGAAGCUAUGUCGUCUCCUGAAUACAAUCAUCUCUUCUUAAUUCCUCCCAUUUGAGAAACAGAACAUCCUGUGUUCGUAAGUUUAUAAUCUAACCCAUCUUUUACUUGCUCAGACCUCCACUAACAGGCUGAACAAGGCCCAUACUUUACUUUUAGAAAACAAAACAGAACAAAACAAAACAAAACAAAAAAACUUAUUUCUGCUAAAAGUAGAUUUCAUCUUGCUGACGAUUCUUAAGUACUUAAACUGUCCCUCUAUAGUUCAUCUUUGAUACCUCCUACUUGCUCCUAUUAUCUUGAGUUUUACUAGCAAUGAAUUCCAGCACACAGGAAAAAAAAUCAGAAAUGUACCCUUCAUUUACUAAUUACAAAAUCAACAGACCUCAGACAGACGGGACAUUCACUUCUGUGCACUCCCCUCAAUUCAGGGGUAGAAUUGAGUUGUAUUUUUAUAUCUGUGAGUCCCAAGGUGUGUAAACUCAUAUCCUCACAGAUGCCUGAGGUUUUCCGCUAGCCCAGCUGAUCUUGACCAGGAAUUUAUUUAAUGUAACUGAAUAAGCAUGAAGUCUUAUCAGGGAUAUUGGAGAAAACUGGUAGAUAAAUAUUUUUUAUACUCAGGUAGUUAAGAAAAUGAAUUUCAAAGUAAAAUACUCUAAAGAGCAUGACCUAAAGAUACUUCGAACAAUAGUAUCAAUUUCUUGGUUAUCAUUUAGGCCUUCUAGAAACUAUUUUCUUGGUCUAGACGUUUAUUAUUGGCUAUAUUUCCUUUGUUUCUAUUUUUCAAAGCAGUCAUACAACUUCAAAUUGAAAUGCCCCAAGCUGUAUUUAUUCUGAUCAUUUCUGACAUUCUUUAUGGUAAAGUCAGUAGUGACAUUUAUAUUACUCAUUCCAAUUACAUCAUCAUUUUUGGUUGCUGUUUUUGAAUUGGUAACAGUAAAGCAUUCCUCAACCUACUGUUAUCACUCCUUCCUCUGCCUCCUACUUCCCAAUUUUUACCUUAAUAAUUGCUAUAUAAUUUUUUUGUAGCAUAUAUUUUCAGGCCUCUUUUUCUAUAUGUAAAAAAGGCUGCCAUGGACUCACUUGUAUGAUAUCAAAGUCAUGUUUCUCAAGAUCCCCAUUUUCAUGAUCUGCCUAGCCAUCACCCUUUCCCUUGGCCUCCAGAUGACUAUUGUUUUUACUCAGUAGAACUGCUUCAGUCGUUGUGGCACAGAACCUGAACUAACUCACUAUGAGAGAUGAGCAUACUUCCAACCCCAAGACUACAGCAGGGUAAUCUAGUCUCAUAGAAACAGGGAGGCAUUUUCCUCUAUUUUAUCCAACUUGCACUGCCAAACGAGGUCUGGGCCUUUUAUCUCUCUUUUUAAUCCUUUCAUUGCAAUUGUUGGACAUGUUUUCCAUAGAGGAGAGUUUAAAACUCUGCUAUUUAUUCCCCGAGCACCCUCUAAUUAGCUAUUUAGUUCCCAUAAUAAGUGUGUUUGUUGCCAUUUAAUUAAGAGCAGUGAUACGACAAUUCCCUUUUUGUUUUAAAAAGAUAUCACUAAAAUAAAUCUCCCUGAUCAGUUAUUUGGUUAUUGUUACUGUUUUUUUUUUUUUUUCUAUUCCCGAAAAAUGGGCUUGCUUUAUUUUGCUCUUUUAAGUCUCUUACAACGAAUUUUCCCCUUUUUUUCACGAUUCUCACUUCCCUUUGUAAAGUUAGCUCAUGGUGUUGAAAUGCCCUUUUUGAACACAUAUUUUUACUUCCUCAUCCUCCUCUCCCUGUGGUAACCCAGGCUUCUCUAUUUUAACUCAGUAUUUAGAAGGUAUACAGAGACUGCCUCGACGACGUGGGUUUCAAACUGAAUAACUCAUUGUUGGGUCUGGAUCUGUAAAAAGGUGAAAAUAAAUAAAUCUUGUUUUAUAACUACAGGAAUGGAUUCUGAAUUAUCUGCCUCCUACUGCUGUUCCCCUCACAGUGCUCCAAGCCUGGUGCCUCUCUCAUCUUUCCAAUACUAUUCUCAUUAGUAAUUUGGCAAAUUCACGAGACCUUCGCCAAGUCGAAACAAACAUAGGAUAAAAUUAUCAUGGAGGCUAAAUAAGAAAAGGUUGUUGAUGUUGGAAUUUAAGAAGAAAAAAAUUAGAAGUUUAACUCGCACUCCUCUCUCUCUCUCUCUCUUUUUUUUUUAAAUGCAGCAGAAUCAAUGAUAUUUGGGCACCUACAUAUCAUUUACUUGGCCUUGUAUUGAUCUGAGGGAUUUUUUUUUUGGUACGAGGGUGGGGGUGGGUAAAGGGGAAAUAUUAAAUCCAGGGCAAUUUCAUUAAUAACGUAUAUUGCCCAAUUGCUAACAAGCAUACUCAAGCCAGGUUAAAGAAGUUUUUUUUUUUAAUUUAAAACUAACAUGUGUGCUAAUUUGAUACAGGUUUUUUCACUGAUGGGCAAAUGGAGAGAAUGUAAAAAUAUCUAACUUCAAACUGAAAAAAAGAAACAACUGGAAUGAAAAGCUAUAAACAAUAGUUCAGAAGAUUGACAUAGAGGAUUUUCCUACAGAACUUCAGGAUACUCCUAAGAAGCCCUUCAAUGAUCGUUUCAUCAAUAUCAUCGGGCCUUAUCAUUGUUUCACAUUUGCUUCUCUUUAUCAUGGGGAAUAUAAUAAUUAUUUACUGGUUAACUUCCCAGGGAGAUUGCCUGCGGCUUAUUUAAGAUCCAAAUUUUAAAGUAAUAAUUUCUGUUGAAGCUGCUUGGGAGGUGGUUGGGUGGGCGGAUAGAGUGAAGCCAGGGACACACAGUAAAUGAGCCCAGGAUGUAGGCAGGUUUUGAUGUUUUGCUUGCUUUUAUCCCUAAUGUUUUAUCCCUUCACGUUUGCUGUCUCACUGAACGUUUUGUCUAUUCUUCUAGUUAUGCAGUGAGCAGGUCUCCUGGAGGAAGAAGCCUCUUUUUAUGAGGAUUGGGGUGGUGACAGAUAUUAAUCAAAUGGUCUGAUUUCUCUGCUAUCCUUUCCUUUCCCCCAAAUGUUCUCAGGGGACCUGCUUGAAUGUUUUUCAAGAGAUCUGUAUUUUGAUUUUUAGUAGCCUAUAGAUUAUCACUCAAUAAAACAAAUUGUUUUUAAGUGAAUUGCCAAAAAUCAUUUUAAAAAGGAAACUCUAUGAUUAUGGUUUCUGCUAGAAAGAAUUCUGACGGCUCAUAAAAGCAAUAUGUAUAAUUUUUCAUUUUUUAGAAGAAAAUAAAUACUUCCAUGUAAUGACUUGA